rnacentral:rRNA from 1 species
AAUAUUUUAGUUGGAUAACUGAGGUAAUUCUUGAGCUAAUACACGCUAUUUAUACCACAUUAGUGGUGCGUUUAUUUGAUUAAACCAUUAUAUAACGGUUGACUCAAAAUAUCCUUGCUGAUUUUGUUACUAAAACAUACCGUAUGUGUAUCUGGUUUAUCAACUUUCGAUGGUAGGGUAUUGGCCUACCAUGGUUGUGACGGAUAACGGAGAAUUAGGGUUCGACUCCGGAGAGGGAGCCUGAGAAACGGCUACCACAUCCAAGGAAGGCAGCAGGCGCGAAAAUUACCCAAUUUUAGUUCAAAGAGGUAGUGACGAAAAAUGACAACCAAAUAUUAUUAUUAAUAUUUGGAUUGAAAAUCUUCAAGUUUAAAUAACUUGUUGGUAAAGGAAAGGGCAAGUCUGGUGCCAGCAGCCGCGGUAAUACCAGCUUU